rnacentral:rRNA from 1 species
GAGUUUGAUCCUGGCUCAGAUUGAACGCUGGCGGCAGGCCUAACACAUGCAAGUCGAGCGGAUGACGGGAGCUUGCUCCUUGAUUCAGCGGCGGACGGGUGAGUAAUGCCUGGGAAUCUGCCUGGUAGUGGGGGACAACGUUUCGAAAGGACGCUAAUACCGCAUACGUCCCACGGGAGAAAGCAGGGGACCUUCGGGCCUUGCGCUAUCAGAUGAGCCUAGGUCGGAUUAGCUAGUUGGUGGGGUAAUGGCUCACCAAGGCGACGAUCCGUAACUGGUCUGAGAGGAUGAUCAGUCACA